rnacentral:lncRNA from 1 species
AAAAGUCAAGGGCAUUAAGCUCACCUUGCUUAAUUAACCCUAAAAAAAAAAAAGGGCUCUCCCUGGCUCGCUAAAGCUACGAGUAAGAAAACCAAAAGAAUGAGCGAAGCUCUCUAUAAAUAUAGGCCCACAGGCAGUUCUUAGAUUUCCCCCUUCCCCCUCCCUCCCUCUCUGGAUAAUUUUAUGGAUGGUAGUGCCCUGCACUCUGUGCUCCAUUCCUCUCCUCUGACUGCCAUCCACCACUGCUCCACCUCCUUUCCUUGCUCCCAUAACCAGCACCCCAUCCCCCACUUCCACUAUUCCCACUACCCAUCCAUCUAAGCCCUGACAAGAACUAGAAAAACAUCAAUCCACCAAAUUUGUUAAGAAAAAGAAGAAACAGGGACGCAAAAAAAAAAAGAAAGAAAGAAAGAAAGAA